GCCGGGUUAGCUCAGUGGUAGAGCAGCUGAUUUGUAAUCAGCAGGUCGUCGGUUCGACUCCGGCACCCGGCUCCG
rnacentral:tRNA from 1 species